ACAUCUGGAAUACUCACGAUUACUAUCGUGGAGAAUUACUACAUGUUGUGCUUGAAAAACAACACUUAAAAGACACUUUAUAUAUUCAAAUGUUUUCCGUUUCACGCCGCUAAUCAAAAAGAAAAUAUUGGCUUUACAUAUAGAGUAAGCUGAGCAACGAGUUUGCGCAUAGCUUCUGCGUAUCUAUUUGUAAUGGCGUGUACAUUUUUUAUUGUAUCAUGUAAACAAUCUUCGCUAUGAUAUUUAUAUUAUAACUAUAUAUACUCUUAAUUGUAUUCCUGCUCAUGGUUACUGCAUAGUCGUCAAUGUGAAGCUCUGUGAACGAUCGUCGGUCGCUGGAGAUAUUUCGGAAAGAACAACGUAUGUUUAUGUAUAUGCAAUGGACUGCCAAACUUGGGUUUAGUAUUGAAGACGACUCAAUGGUGUAGACAUUGAGACUGCAAAUUUUGAAGCCUAUUCUGAUUCAAAGUCGGUCGUAUUGUAAAUCCUGCGGACCUAUAUACUCGCCUGUAGUGAAGGUCAACGUUAAGCUCUUAAAAGGUGGAAACAAAACAAAAAAGACAAGUUAUUAAAAAAGAUUAGCGUGAAUUUUAGCACGCGAAUACACAGAGCCUCGCACAAAGAGAUUACGUCUUUCUCAGGCGGCUAAGCUGAACUGCCGCAGCAUCCUUUGUUUUGUCUACGCGGGCUCAGACGUUGGGAGGCCGCCGAAGCUCGCACUGAAACCAAAAAUCACACGCUGUCACCGACACAGAUUUAGAAACCAGAUGUCCUGCGUUAAUUACAAACCCGAUUAAUUCAUUCAAUUGUUUUAACAAAUUAGUUUUAAAUGAUAUCAAUGGAUUGAUGAAAAAAAGCACUCAAUGAAGAAACGAUGAUAAAGAGACUAGUUUAGUUAUCAGAGACUAGAAAAACCACGGCAUCUGUAAAAUAACAUUGAGUUUAACUCGCGUUUUACAUCUGUUUUUAAGUAACAGAAAUGGAAACUCUCGCUCAAUAACAAUAUUUCACUCUGUGACUUCAUUACUUCUGAACAUUUCACCGAGUAAAGAUUUUGUUUUCGGUUUUCCAACUGAAAAACCAUGCGUAAACGAUCACGCGCUGUAUCAGGGUUAUG